GAAAGACACGCUCUAAUACACAACGGUGUAGCUACUACAAGCCAAAUUUACUUGCUUGCCAAAAUGCGUACUUACUGUAUCUAACAUCUUCGUUGUGAAAAUGCGAUGUGAUCAACACAGUGCAUUUCCCUCCCCAAGAGGCCAAGACAACUUGUUUUUUUUGCAGGAAAAUUAGAGAGCUUUAUUUCACGAAAGCACACUCGGUGCAAUCAGCCAGAAGGCCGGUGACCAAGAAGCUAGGGGUUUCUUCGAGACAGCUUUCGGUCACAUUCAGUGUGCAAGCACGCUUCGCACACAGAUGCGCCAGAACAUUUGCCGCUCGAUUUACAUGAAAAAUAUCAAAAGAAGCAAAAGAGGUACAUAGCUCUCCUAUUUCUAAAAGUAAAGGAGCCACAAUUGAAUGAGAAUUGUGGCGAGUUUGCCAGAACUUCACCAGCUCCAAACAGUCGACCUCCAUGAUCACAUGCUGAAACCCACGGAGACAUGCAAAGCGGACUCCAUCGCGCAAUGACAAACACUCCAUCAUCAGAGGGUCCGAAACUCCCAUGUAUGGUUUACACCAUGAACCCAGGAGAGCCGAUGAUGAUCUAGCUACUCCUCCAGCACCACCCCGGCCUUCAACCAGCUCCUGAGCGCCGUCCGUCGUAAUCUUGACCGAACCCCCCUCAGGAGGCCGCCAACCAUAACCCGGUAGGACCCGAGUUUCCUUUCGUGGUAGUUGGAGGAGGGAGAUAGCCUCCUUAAUAUAUUUGAUAGAUGUUACAAGAUCUCUCCCCUCUUCACCAUGUUUGAUUCGGUUCCUGGAGUGCCAAAUUGCCCACAUAAUCAUGGUGAUCUUGGCACGAUCAUCGGAUGUGAACUGAGGAUCACAAGUGAUAUCUCGAGCCCACGUAACCGAGUGGAGAGGAGGAAGACGAAGACCGAGCCAUGUCCAUGCCUCUUCCCAGAAGCUCUGUGCAUGUAUACAAUGUAUUAGUGCAUGCUUCAGGUCCUCCUUCGUAGAGCGACAAACAUUACACUGGCGAGCAUCUGCAAUGUGUCGAUAGUUGAGAGUUGUUUCAUCCGGAAGAAUGCCACGUAACACUCUCCACCAGAACACUCGUACUUUUGGGAUAACAUUCAACUUCCACAAGGAUUUCCACAACUGUUUAUCAUCGGAUGAGGUUUCGGUAGCCGUCCCUUCCUCUAGAGCCAAACGCUCGUUCUGAGUCACGAGAGCACGGUACAUCAUCUUGACAGUGUAGUUACCUGAUAUGUCAAUGCCCAUGCAAGAAAAUCGUCACCACCGCCUUGCCUGACAGGGAUAUUAAGGAUAGUCGCGGCAUCUUGAGCCGUGAAGGUAUCCCUGAUCAAAUCAAUCUUCCAAGACCAACUUCGUGUGUCAAUGAGAUCUGAAACCCUCUCAAUAUUUGUACUUGUUCGUCUCAGAGCUGGAGUCAUUGUGAUCGUACCUGGGAUCCACUUGUCCUCCCAAACCGAUAUAGUAGAACCAUCUCCCACUGUGGAGAUUAACCCUGUCUUCAGAGCGUCCCUUCCGGCCACAAUCGCCUUCCAAGUUGCCGAGGCUGACUUGGGAACUAAAGCAUGCAUGAAAUCAGUAUCCGGAAAGUAACGGCCCUUGAGUACUCUCGCACAAAGCAAAUUUGGGUUGGUGAUGAAACGCCACCCAUGCUUUCCCAACAUAGCUAGGUUAAACAGAUGCGGGUCUCGAAACCCCAUCCCCCCCUCGCACUUGGGUUUAGAUAACUCCUUCCAGGAUACCCAAUGCAUUGCUUUUUUAUCAAGAGAGCUACUCCAAAAAAAUAGACAUGGGGGAAGUGAGACUCUUGCAAACUUUCUUGGUGAGAAGGAAAGUGCUCAUGGGAUAAGUGGGAAUAGACUGAAUUACAGAUUUGAGCAAAGUUUCCCGUCCAACACAUGCAAGCAAUUUUUCUGACCACCCUUGCAUCUUCCCACGAGCUCGCUCACUAAUAUGAUCCACUGGUGAUACGUCCAACCGCAGUGGGGAGCCCCAAAUAUCUCUCACUAAAAGCCUCGACUUGGAUAUUCAAAGUCGACUUCGAAUCUUGCCUGAUGGUGUCCGGGGUAUUUGUGCUGAAAUAAAUAGAGCUUUUGUCCCGGUUCACACACUGACCCGAGGCAUCACCAUAGAUCCUCAGAAUUUCAUUCAGACGCAAAGCACUAGCUGCGCUUGCAUUAAUGAAGAUUAGGCUGUCAUCUGCAAACAACAAAUGAGAGACCCAAGGUGAUCUAUAGCUCACUCUUAGUCCCCGAUCAAUGUAUCCAUCAUUAUAAAACUUCAGUAAUGAGGAAAACCCUUCUGCACAAAGAAGAAACAGAUAUGGAGAAACUGGAUCACCUUGUCGAAAACCCCGAGAUGGGGUGAAGAAUGGAAGAAGCUCUCCAUUAACCCGAACAAAAAACCGAACCGAGGUGACACACUUCAUUAUCAGGCGAAUGAAAUUAAUACUGAAGCCCAAAUGAGACAGAAUCGCCUCGAGGUAAUGCCACUCCACCAGAUCGUAAGCCUUCAUCAUGUCUAACUUGACUGCACAAGAGAAAUUCUUUCCUUUCUUCCUUCUUCUCAUCGUAUGUAUACUUUCAUAAGCAACCAGUACAUUGUCUGUGAUGAGACGACCAGGAACAAAAGCGCUCUGCUCUUCACUGAUAAUAUCAUCCAUAAUGUAUCUCAAGCGAUUAGUAAUAACUUUGGCCGCAAUCUUAUAAAGGACCGGACGCAAAGCAAUAGGACGAUAUUGUGAAAUCGACUGUGGGUGUCGUACCUUGGGGAUAAGAGUGAUAGCAGUGUCGUUCAAACCCGAAGGUAACUCGCCCCCAUUCAGAAAGUCCAGUACUACCAAGGUCACGUCAUUGCCGAGCAAGUCCCAAUGCCACUGAUAAAACCCUACAGUAAAGCCGUCAACACCAGGAGCCUUAGAUGGCGCCAUUUGGAACAACGCCACUUUGACCUCAUCUACGGUGUAUGGCUUGGUAAGAUCAUCAUUCAUGCCCUGAGUCACUUUGACGGGCACAUGAGAUAAUAAAUCGCUAGCCUCAGUAAAACCCUGCGUUUGAUACAGGUUCUGAUAGAAAGCUAGCACCUCAGCCUUGCCCUCACUCUUAGAUUCACAUAUUGUGCCAUCUACACGGCGUAAGCCAUGUAUCUUGUUCAUUCUCUUUCGCUGGGCAGCUUGUGCCUGAAAGUAGGAAGUGUUCCGAUCGCCCUCGAGGAGCCAAGGAACCCGUGAACGCUGUCGAAGCCACACCUCCUCUUGGUGGAGCGCUUCCUUCAGCUUCUUGACAAUACUUUUCUCUUCAUCCGUUGGUCCCACCCCCAUGGUGGAGCACCUGAUACGAUCCAAUCUCUUUUGAAGUUUCCUGACCAUGUGUGUCAAACAACCAAAUUCCUUUGAGCCCCAUGGCUCAAGAAUAGACUGGAGGGACCCCAAGGCUGAUGCAAUCCCUUGGAGCCCUGGCGUAUGCUGAAUCCCCCGCCAAGUAUCACAUAGCAGGCGAUCAUAAUCCGAGUGCGUCUGCCAUACGUUCUCAUAACGAAAUUGUCUUUUAGCCCGUGGCCCGUACAAAGGCAUGUCCUUAAUCUCAGCUACAACGAAACAGUGAUCAGACUCAACUGAGGGGAGAUGUCUGACCCGUAUAUGUUGAAAAAGUUGCUGAAACUCCUCGUUCCAAAAGCUCGGUCGAGACGGACCUUUACAUUUGCUGCACCUGUUUGCUGAUUGUCCCACGUAUAUGGUGUACCCGACCAGCCUAAAUCUUGCAUAGAAACCUCAUCCAUGACAGUCCGAAACGCUCACAUGUGUGUCUCUGAUCUUGCUCUUCUGCUAAAGUGUUCGGAACCAUAGAGAGUUUCAUUAAAAUCCCCCAUACACAGCCAUGCUGCAUGGGGUAUAGAAAAAAGAGUGUGCAGGAGCUGCCAGCUUUCACCACGAUCUGAAGCUCUUGGCGCCCCAUAAAAACCAGUAAACCUCCAAACCGAAGAACUCUGAUUGUUGCUGUGAACCUCCACAUCAAUGUGACACUUACUGAAAUUUUUCAGCUCAACAUUCACAUCACGUGACCAAAACAGACCAAUGCCACCACUUAGGCCGACACUGUCUACUACAAAACACCCUCCAAAACCGAGAGUGCACUUCAACGCCUCAACUCUUUUAGCUUGAAUUUUCGUUUCCAUCACAAAGAGAAGAGUGGGUCUUUCUAGCUUCACUAUACUGCGAAGCUCGCGAACUGCCUCGGGGUUCCCAAGCCCCCGGCAGUUCCAGCUCAAGCAUGUCAUUGUGUUGGGCAGGACCGCGGCGCGGUCUCUGCCGAAUUCUCAGGUGUGGGCUUCUUUUUCUUUGGAUCCCGUAAAAAUUCAUCACCUUCUACUUCAUUGCUAGCAGAAGUCUCACCAUCCUUGCCAAUAGUUUCAACACCAUUGGCUGCACUCGGUUCCCCCUCUGUAAGCAGCAAGUUUUCACCAUCGGUCUGUAUACUUGGUUCGGAGCAUCUUUCCUCUUUGGUGGAGCCCUGUGCUUGAUCGGGGAAAUAACCUCUUCCCCUGGCUCCUUGUUGGUGCUCGAGUUUCUGGUUGUUGGCUUGUAGUUGGCACCCUUCUGUGGAUCCUUGGAAGAAUUUUCACUGCUCGGUGACUUCCGGGACUCGUCAGGAGCGCGUAAUUUUGGGCCGAACGGAAGCUCACCAUUCUCGUCCCUAGAACCAGGAGUUGGGCAAUGCAAAUCUGAGUGCCCUAACCUACCACAGGAGAAGCAGAAGUAUGGUAUAUUUUCAUAUUGGAUAUCGUAUAUAUCUACCUUCUUCCUCCUGGCAGAGUCUAUUAGGAUCCAGCGUCUGAUUGGCUUAGCAACAUCGAUGGAAAUUCUUGCUCGCAGAAACCCACCAUUGUGGUCAAAUUUAACUGAAAGAGCGUUCUUGUCUAUCUGUUGAGCUAUUGGCUUCCACCAUGCCUCAUCACGCAAAUUGUAUGGCAAGUUAACAACCCUAGCCCAUACUUGCAACUUAUCAAACUUCACCUCAUCCGGCCUCAUGCAGUCGUCAAAUUCCGCUNNNNNNNNNNNNNNNNNNNNNNNNNNNNNNNNNNNNNNNNNNNNNNNNNNNNNNNNNNNNNNNNNNNNNNNNNNNNNNNNNNNNNNNNNNNNNNNNNNNNNNNNNNNNNNNNNNNNNNNNNNNNNNNNNNNNNNNNNNNNNNNNNNNNNNNNNNNNNNNNNNNNNNNNNNNNNNNNNNNNNNNNNNNNNNNNNNNNNNNNNNNNNNNNNNNNNNNNNNNNNNNNNNNNNNNNNNNNNNNNNNNNNNNNNNNNNNNNNNNNNNNNNNNNNNNNNNNNNNNNNUCUCUGAUUCUCAAACUCUGCCACAAAGAUGUUAAUUCCGGCAGAUCUGAACUAAAGACCUCGUGGAUUACCCCAUGCCGAGCGCAGGGCGUUGGUGAUAGUCUGGAUAUGGAGUUGAUUACAGUGUAGUACUUUACCAGCCAACAGCCACCUCGCCGGUCCAUCCUCGAUGCGAUCAUCAAGUAUCAAAGGAGUAGCCUCUUCCUCGGAGAUAUCAAGUUUCCCUAAAGCUUCCUCCAAUUGUUUCCUGGCCGCGCGACCCGCGAGAGGGUCGCUCUCCGGCGCCGCCCCCGCCGCAGAGUUAGAUCCUGCCAUGCGCAGGUUCUCCCCCUUGACGGAUCUCUCGCACCGGCGAUAGAUCACCGGACGAAGGCUGUUUCCACGUCCAAACCCUAAUCGCCUCCAGCGCCGCCAGAGGGUUUAGGGUUAGGGGAAAAAACUGCGGUUCUCCAAAUCCCGAUCUAAAACAGGCCAAGACAACUUGUCCCUGCAGGAAACCACACAAGAGGCUCACAGUAUCGUACUAUAUAUAUGUACACCUUCAGACUUCCAUGUAGCUAAGUACAAUAAUCCCAAGUAUUAGUAAGCUCCAC
rnacentral:lncRNA from 1 species